UACGUAGGGCGCAAGCGUUAUCCGGAAUUAUUGGGCGUAAAGAGCUCGUAGGCGGUUUGUCGCGGUCUGCCGUGAAAGUCCGGGGCUCAACUCCGGAUCUGCGGUGGGUACGGGCAGACUAGAGUGCAGUAGGGGAGACUGGAAUUCCUGGUGUAGCGGUGAAAUGCGCAGAUAUCAGGAGGAACACCCGUGGCGUAAGGCGG
rnacentral:rRNA from 1 species